AAAUUGAAGAGUUUGAUCAUGGCUCAGAUUGAACGCUGGCGGCAGGCCUAACACAUGCAAGUCGAACGGUAACAGGAAACAGCUUGCUGUUUCGCUGACGAGUGGCGGACGGGUGAGUAAUGUCUGGGAAACUGCCUGAUGGAGGGGGAUAACUACUGGAAACGGUAGCUAAUACCGCAUAACGUCGCAAGACCAAAGAGGGGGACCUUCGGGCCUCUUGCCAUCGGAUGUGCCCAGAUGGGAUUAGCUAGUAGGUGGGGUAAACGGCUCACCUAGGCGACGAUCCCUAGCUGGUCUGAGAGGAUGACCAGCCACACUGGAACUGAGACACGGUCCAGACUCCUACGGGAGGCAGCAGUGGGGAAUAUUGCACAAUGGGCGCAAGCCUGAUGCAGCCAUGCCGCGUGUAUGAAGAAGGCCUUCGGGUUGUAAAGUACUUUCAGCGGGGAGGAAGGGAGUAAAGUUAAUACCUUUGCUCAUUGACGUUACCCGCAGAAGAAGCACCGGCUAACUCCGUGCCAGCAGCCGCGGUAAUACGGAGGGUGCAAGCGUUAAUCGGAAUUACUGGGCGUAAAGCGCACGCAGGCGGUUUGUUAAGUCAGAUGUGAAAUCCCCGGGCUCAACCUGGGAACUGCAUCUGAUACUGGCAAGCUUGAGUCUCGUAGAGGGGGGUAGAAUUCCAGGUGUAGCGGUGAAAUGCGUAGAGAUCUGGAGGAAUACCGGUGGCGAAGGCGGCCCCCUGGACGAAGACUGACGCUCAGGUGCGAAAGCGUGGGGAGCAAACAGGAUUAGAUACCCUGGUAGUCCACGCCGUAAACGAUGUCGACUUGGAGGUUGUGCCCUUGAGGCGUGGCUUCCGGAGCUAACGCGUUAAGUCGACCGCCUGGGGAGUACGGCCGCAAGGUUAAAACUCAAAUGAAUUGACGGGGGCCCGCACAAGCGGUGGAGCAUGUGGUUUAAUUCGAUGCAACGCGAAGAACCUUACCUGGUCUUGACAUCCACGGAAGUUUUCAGAGAUGAGAAUGUGCCUUCGGGAACCGUGAGACAGGUGCUGCAUGGCUGUCGUCAGCUCGUGUUGUGAAAUGUUGGGUUAAGUCCCGCAACGAGCGCAACCCUUAUCCUUUGUUGCCAGCGGUCCGGCCGGGAACUCAAAGGAGACUGCCAGUGAUAAACUGGAGGAAGGUGGGGAUGACGUCAAGUCAUCAUGGCCCUUACGACCAGGGCUACACACGUGCUACAAUGGCGCAUACAAAGAGAAGCGACCUCGCGAGAGCAAGCGGACCUCAUAAAGUGCGUCGUAGUCCGGAUUGGAGUCUGCAACUCGACUCCAUGAAGUCGGAAUCGCUAGUAAUCGUGGAUCAGAAUGCCACGGUGAAUACGUUCCCGGGCCUUGUACACACCGCCCGUCACACCAUGGGAGUGGGUUGCAAAAGAAGUAGGUAGCUUAACCUUCGGGAGGGCGCUUACCACUUUGUGAUUCAUGACUGGGGUGAAGUCGUAACAAGGUAACCGUAGGGGAACCUGCGGUUGGAUCACCUCCUUA
rnacentral:rRNA from 1 species